UCCAGCGGAAAAAGGCCCCAAAAACGGGUGGGCUAUAGCCUUGGGGGGUGGGGCGGGCCAACUUCGUCCGCCGGACUCGGAACGGCGCGGGAAUUUGCGAGCAGCCUCCAUGUGCCUCACAUAGGCCACGGGCACAGCCGCACCCACAAAUAACCGCCCGAAGGCCGGGGCGCCAAGUUCAUCCAGCGGAAAAAGGCCACAAAAACGGGUGGGCUAUAGCCUUGGGGGGUGGGGCUGGCCAACUUCGUCCGCCUGACACAGAAUGGCGCGAGACUUUGCGAGCGGCCUCCGUGUGCCAAAAAUAGGCUGCGGGCACAGCCGCGCCCAAAAAUAACUGCCCGCAGGGCCGGGGCGCCAAGUUAGUCCAGCGGAAAAAGGCCACACAAAACGGGUGGGCUAUAGCCUUGGGGGGUGGGGCUGGCCGACUUCGUCCGCCGGACUCGGAAUGGCGCGAGACUUUGCGAGCGGCCCCCGUGUGCCAAAAAUAGGCCGUGGACACAGCCGCGCCCAAAAAUAACAGCCCGAAGGCCGGGGCGCCAAGUUCGUCCAGCAGAAAAAGGCCACAAAAACGGGUGGGCUAUAGCCUUCGGCGGUGGGGUGCCCAACUUUGUCCGCCGGACUCGGAAUGGCGCGAGACUUUGCGACCAGCCUCCGUGUGCCAAAAAUAGGCGGUGGGCACAGCCGCGUUCAAAAAUAACCACCCGAAGGCCGGGACGCCAAGUUCGUCCAGCGGAAAAAGGCCACAAAAACGGGUGGGCUAUAGCCUUAGGGGGUGGGGCUGGCCAAAUUCGUCCGCCGGACUCGGAAUGGUACGAGACUUUGCGAGGCACCUCCGUGUGACAAAAAUAGGCCACGGGCACAGCCGCGCCCAAAAAUAACCUCCCGAAGGCCGGGGCGCCAUGUUCGUCCAGCGGAAAAAGGACAAAAAACGGGUGGGCUAUAGCA
rnacentral:lncRNA from 1 species